AACGAACGCUGGCGGCAUGCCUAACACAUGCAAGUCGAACGGACCCUUCGGGGUUAGUGGCGCACGGGUGCGUAACGCGUGGGAAUCUGCCUUUAGGUUCGGAAUAACUCCCCGAAAGGGGUGCUAAUACCGGAUGAUGUCGCAAGACCAAAGAUUUAUCGCCUAAAGAUGAGCCCGCGUAAGAUUAGCUAGUUGGUGAGGUAAAGGCUCACCAAGGCGACGAUCUUUAGCUGGUCUGAGAGGAUGAUCAGCCACACUGGGACUGAGACACGGCCCAGACUCCUACGGGAGGCAGCAGUGGGGAAUAUUGGACAAUGGGCGAAAGCCUGAUCCAGCAAUGCCGCGUGAGUGAUGAAGGCCUUAGGGUUGUAAAGCUCUUUUACCCGGGAUGAUAAUGACAGUACCGGGAGAAUAAGCUCCGGCUAACUCCGUGCCAGCAGCCGCAGUAAAAC
rnacentral:rRNA from 1 species